rnacentral:misc_RNA from 1 species
UAUUCAAUAUUAUAAUGUCUACUCCAG